GCUACCACAUCCAAGGAAGGCAGCAGGCGCGCAAAUUACCCAAUCCUGACACAGGGAGGCAGUGACAAUAUAUAACGAUACAGGGCCAUUGGUCCUGUAAUUGGAAUGAGUACAAUGUAAAUACCUUAACGAGGAACAAUUGGAGGGCAAGUCUGGUGCCAGCAGCCGCGGUAAUUCCAGCUCCAAUAGCGUAUAUUAAAGUUGUUGCAGUUAAAAAGCUCGUAGUUGAAGUUUGGGCCUGGGCGGGCGGUCUACCUAUGGUGAGUACUGCUGCGGCCGGGUCUUUCCUUCUGGCUAGCCCUUGUGGCGAACCAGGACGAUUACUUUGAGGAAAUUAGAGUGUUCAAAGCAGGCCUUUGCUCGAAUAUAUUAGCAUGGAAUAAUAGAAUAGGACGUAUGGUUCUAUUUUGUUGGUUUCUAGGACCAUCGUAAUGAUUAAUAGGGACGGUCGGGGGCAUCAGUAUUCAGUUGUCAGAGGUGAAAUUCUUGGAUUAACUGAAGACUAACUACUGCGAAAGCAUUUGCCAAGGACGUUUUCAUUAAUCAAGAACGAAAGUUAGGGGAUCGAAGAUGAUUAGAUACCGUCGUAGUCUUAACCA
rnacentral:rRNA from 1 species